rnacentral:rRNA from 1 species
CCAGCUCUCCGAGUAGUAGGGAUGAUUAUUGGGCUUAAAGCGUCCGUAGCCGGCUCAGCAAGUCCUCCGUUAAAUUCAGCGACCUAAUCGUUGAGCUGCGGGGGAUACUGUUGGGCUAGGAGGCGGGAGAGGCCGACGGUAUUCUCGGGGUAGGGGUGAAAUCCUAUAAUCCCGGGAGGACCACCAGUGGCGAAGG